rnacentral:rRNA from 1 species
CCUACGGGGGGCAGCAGUGAGGAAUAUUGGUCAAUGGACGCAAGUCUGAACCAGCCAAGUAGCGUGCAGGAUGACUGCCCUAUGGGUUGUAAACUUCUUUUAUACAGGAAUAAAACGAGGCACGUGUGCCUUUUUGCAUGUACUUUAUGAAUAAGGAUCGGCUAACUCCGUGCCAGCAGCCGCGGUAAUACGGAGGAUCCGAGCGUUAUCCGGAUUUAUUGGGUUUAAAGGGAGCGUAGAUGGGUUGUUAAGUCAGUUGUGAAAGCUUGCGGCUCAACCGUAAAAUUGCAAUUGAUACUGGCAGGCUAGAGUAUAGUUGAGGUAGGCGGAAUGCGUGGUGUAGCGGUGAAAUGCUUAGAUAUCACGAAGAACCCCGAUUGCGAAGGCAGCUUACUAAACUGUGACUGACAUUGAUGCACGAAAGCGUGGGUAUCAAACAGGAUUAGAUACCCGGGUAGUC